rnacentral:rRNA from 1 species
AGAGUUUGAUCCUGGCUCAGGAUGAACGCUGGCGGCGUGCCUAAUACAUGCAAGUCGAACGAACUUCCGUUAAUUGAUUAUGACGUGCUUGCACUGAAUGAGAUUUUAACACGAAGUGAGUGGCGGACGGGUGAGUAACACGUGGGUAACCUGCCCAGAAGCAGGGGAUAACACCUGGAAACAGAUGCUAAUACCGUAUAACAGAGAAAACCGCCUGGUUUUCUUUUAAAAGAUGGCUCUGCUAUCACUUCUGGAUGGACCCGCGGCGCAUUAGCUAGUUGGUGAGGUAACGGCUCACCAAGGCGAUGAUGCGUAGCCGACCUGAGAGGGUAAUCGGCCACAUUGGGACUGAGACACGGCCCAGACUCCUACGGGAGGCAGCAGUAGGGAAUCUUCCACAAUGGACGCAAGUCUGAUGGAGCAACGCCGCGUGAGUGAAGAAGGGUUUCGGCUCGUAAAGNCUNCUGUUGUUAAAGAAGAANCGUGGGUGAGAGUAANCUGUUCANCCCAGUGACGGUAUUAACCCAGAAAGCCCG